rnacentral:rRNA from 1 species
UAGUGGCGGACGGGUGAGUAACACGUGGGUGACCUACCUUUGAGUCUGGGACAACUGUUGGAAACGACAGCUAAUACCGGAUGAUAUACAGUUUCGUUUCUGUAUUAAAAGGCGCCUUUAAAGCGUCGCUCUUAGAUGGGCCUGCGGUGUAUUAGCUAGUUGGUGAGGUAAUGGCUUACCAAGGCGACGAUGCAUAGCCGGACUGAGAGGUUGAACGGCCACAUUGGGACUGAGACACGGCCCAAACUCCUACGGGAGACAGCAGUUAGGAAUAUUCGUCAAUGGGGGAAACCCUGAACGAGCAAUGCCGCGUGAAUGAUGACAAUCCUCUGGAUUGUAAAAUUCUGUUGUAAAGGACGAACCCUUACUAUAGGUAAUGAUAGUAAGCUGACGGUACUUUACCAGAAAGCCCCGGCUAACUACGUGCCAGCAGCCGCGGUAAUACGUAGGGGGCGAGCGUUAUCCGGAUUUAUUGGGCGUAAAGCGUGUGUAGGCGGUUUAUUAAGUCUAAAAUUAAAGCCUGGGGCUUAACCCCAGUUCGUUUUAGAAACUGGUAGACUUGAGUGUGGUAGAGGCAAAUGGAAUUUCUAGUGUAGCGGUUAAAUGCGUAGAUAUUAGAAGGAACACCAGUGGCGAAGGCGGUUUGCUGGGCCAUUACUGACGCUGAGACACGAAAGCGUGGGGAGCAAAUAGGAUUAGAUACCCUAGUAGUCCACGCUGUAAACGAUGAGUACUAAGUGUCGGGCAACCGGUGUUGAAGCUAACGUAUUAAGUACUCCGCCUGAGUAGUACGGUCGCAAGGCUGAAACUCAAAGGAAUUGACGGGCACCCGCACAAGCGGUGGAGCAUGCUGUUUAAUUCGAAGAUACGCGAAGAACCUUACCUAGACUUGACAUCCCGGGCAAAGCUAUAGAAAUAUAGUGGAGGUUAUCCCGGUGACAGGUGGUGCAUGGUUGUCGUCAGCUCGUGUCGUGAGAUGUUCGGUUAAGUCCGAUAACGAGCGCAACCCUUACCUUAAGUUGCUAACAUUCAGUUGAGAACUCUUAAGGGACUGCUGGUGAUAAACCGGAGGAAGAUGGGGAUGACGUCAAAUCAUCAUGCCCCUUACGUCUAGGGCUACAGGCGUGCUACAAUGGCCGAUACAAAGAGUCGCAAUACCGUAAGGUGGAGCUAAUCUCCAAAAUCGGUCUCAGUUCGGAUUGAGGUCUGCAACUCGACCUCAUGAAGCUGGAAUCGCUAGUAAUCCUGAAUCAGAAUGUCAGGGUGAAUACGUUCCCGGGUGUUGCACUCACCCGCCCGUCA